CAGCAGCCACGGUAACACGUAGGGUGCGAGCGUUAAUCGGAAUUACUGGGCGUAAAGCGUGCGCAGGCGGUUUUGUAAGACAGGCGUGAAAUCCCCGGGCUCAACCUGGGAAUGGCGCUUGUGACUGCAAAGCUAGAGUGCGGCAGAGGGGGAUGGAAUUCCGCGUGUAGCAGUGAAAUGCGUAGAUAUGCGGAGGAACACCGAUGGCGAAGGCAAUCCCCUGGGCCUGCACUGACGCUCAUGCACGAAAGCGUGGGGAGCAAACAGGAUUAGAUACCCCCGUAGUCCCUGUCUCUUAUAC
rnacentral:rRNA from 1 species